rfam:Gossypium hirsutum cultivar TM-1 unplaced genomic scaffold scaffold975.1, whole genome shotgun sequence
AAUCCAUGGUGUUGGCAUUUUUGAAUUAGUGUCUUAAAUUGCUCCCAUGCUUUGUGAAAGCUUUCCUUUUUGAACUAUUUGAACAUUGAAAUUUCCAUUCUUAGCU